rnacentral:rRNA from 1 species
AUGAACGCUGGCGGCGUGCCUAAUACAUGCAAGUCGAGCGAACAGACGAGGAGCUUGCUCCUCUGACGUUAGCGGCGGACGGGUGAGUAACACGUGGAUAACCUACCUAUAAGACUGGGAUAACUUCGGGAAACCGGAGCUAAUACCGGAUAAUAUAUUGAACCGCAUGGUUCAAUAGUGAAAGACGGUUUUGCUGUCACUUAUAGAUGGAUCCGCGCCGCAUUAGCUAGUUGGUAAGGUAACGGCUUACCAAGGCGACGAUGCGUAGCCGACCUGAGAGGGUGGUCGGCCACACUGGAACUGAGACACGGUCCAGACUCCUACGGGAGGCAGCAGUAGGGAAUCUUCCGCAAUGGGCGAAAGCAUGACGGAGCAACGCGGCGUGAGUGAUGAAGGUCUUCGGAUCGUAAAACUCUGUUAUGAGGGAAGAACAAAUGUGUAAGUAACUAUGCACGUCUUGACGGUACCUAAUCAGAAAGCCACGGCUAACUACGUG